rnacentral:rRNA from 3 species
CCCGCUGAAUUUAAGCAUAUUAAUAAGCGGAGGAAAAGAAACUAACAAGGAUUCCCUCAGUAACGGCGAGUGAAGCGGGAAGAGCUCAAAUUUGAAAUCUCCGAUGCUUGCAUCGGCGAGUUGUAGUUGCGAGAAGCACUUUCUAGGCGGAUCGACGGUGCCUAAGUUGCUUGGAACGGCACGUCGCAGAGGGUGACAACCCCGUCUGUGGCGCCGCCGGCCGCCGACGAUGUGCUUUCGAAGAGUCGGGUUGUUUGGGAAUGCAGCCCAAAACGGGUGGUAAACUCCAUCUAAAGCUAAAUACUGGCGUGAGACCGAUAGCGAACAAGUACCGUGAGGGAAAGAUGAAAAGAACUUUGAAAAGAGAGUUAAAAAGUACGUGAAACCGUCGAAAGGGAAACGAAUGGACUCAGCAAUGCGCCCUCUGAGAUUCAGCCGGUGGGUGGCGGCGGCGCCGGGUUUGCGGAUCUGAAUGGACCGCGGCCUGGCGCCCGCCUCUCCCCGCCGUCGCACUUCUCUGGGGCGCGCGUCAACGUGGGUUGGGACUGGGUCUGAAAGGCGCCGGGAAGGUAGGUGUGGGCCUUCGGGUCCGUUCUGUUACAGCCCGGUUCUCUCAUGGCUCGGGCCCGACCGAGGAGCGACACGGGGCAUGCCUCCUGUGGCUAGGGUCCCGCCCUUCCGGCCGGCUGUCCAGUGCGGUGGACUGCUUGCAGUGCUCCGCGACGGCUGCCGGUCGUUGGGGUGGUGAUCUCGUACCAUGCCCCUAGGAUGUUGGCGGUCAUAUGGGUGC